UGGGGAAUAUUGCACAAUGGGCGCAAGCCUGAUGCAGCGACGCCGCGUGAGGGAUGGAGGCCUUCGGGUUGUAAACCUCUUUUAUCGGGGAGCAAGCGAGAGUGAGUUUACCCGUUGAAUAAGCACCGGCUAACUACGUGCCAGCAGCCGCGGUAAUACGUAGGGUGCAAGCGUUAUCCGGAAUUAUUGGGCGUAAAGGGCUCGUAGGCGGUUCGUCGCGUCCGGUGUGAAAGUCCAUCGCUUAACGGUAGAUCCGCGCCGGGUACGGGCGGGCUUGAGUGCGGUAGGGGAGACUGGAAUUCCCGGUGUAACGGUGGAAUGUGUAGAUAUCGGGAAGAACACCAAUGGCGAAGGCAGGUCUCUGGGCCGUUACUGACGCUGAGGAGCGAAAGCGUGGGGAGCGAACAGGAUUAGAUACCCUGGUAGUCCACGCCGUAAACGGUGGAUGCUGGAUGUGGGGCCCGUUCCACGGGUUCCGUGUCGGAGCUAACGCGUUAAGCAUCCCGCCUGGGGAGUACGGCCGCAAGGCUAAAACUCAAAGAAAUUGACGGGGGCCCGCACAAGCGGCGGAGCAUGCGGAUUAAUUCGAUGCAACGCGAAGAACCUUACCUGGGCUUGACAUGUUCCCGACGGUCGUAGAGAUACGGCUUCCCUUCGGGGCGGGUUCACAGGUGGUGCAUGGUCGUCGUCAGCUCGUGUCGUGAGAUGUUGGGUUAAGUCCCGCAACGAGCGCAACCCUCGCCCCGUGUUGCCAGCGGAUUAUGCCGGGAACUCACGGGGGACCGCCGGGGUUAACUCGGAGGAAGGUGGGGAUGACGUCAGAUCAUCAUGCCCCUUACGUCCAGGGCUUCACGCAUGCUACAAUGGCCGGUACAACGGGAUGCGACGCGGCGACGCGGAGCGGAUCCCUGAAAACCGGUCUCAGUUCGGAUCGCAGUCUGCAACUCGACUGCGUGAAGGCGGAGUCGCUAGUAAUCGCGAAUCAGCAACGUCGCGGUGAAUGCGUUCCC
rnacentral:rRNA from 1 species